rnacentral:rRNA from 1 species
UACGGAGGGUGCAAGCGUUAUCCGGAUUCACUGGGUUUAAAGGGUGCGUAGGAGGGCAGGUAAGUCAGUGGUGAAAUCCCCGAGCUUAACUUGGGAACUGCCGUUGAUACUAUCUGUCUUGAAUGUUGUGGAGGUAAGCGGAAUACGUCAUGUAGCGGUGAAAUGCUUAGAUAUGACAUAGAACACCAAUUGCGAAGGCAGCUUGCUACACAAUUAUUGACUCUGAGGCACGAAAGCGUGGGGAUCAAACAGG